rnacentral:tRNA from 2 species
GGGGGUAUAGCUCAGUGGUAGAGCAUUUGACUGCAGAUCAAGAGGUCCCUGGUUCAAAUUCAGGUGCCCCCU